AUGUCAAGUCCGCAUGGCUCUUACGGGGUGGGCUACAAACGUACUACAAUGGCGCUUACAAAGGGCAGCGAUGUCGCAAGGCAAAGCCAAUCCUAAAAAAGCGUCUCAGUUCAGAUUGUCGUCUGCAACUCGACGGCAUGAAGUCGGAAUUACUAGUAAUCGCAGAUCAGCAUGCUGCGGUGAAUGCGUUCUCGGGUCUU
rnacentral:rRNA from 1 species